UACGUAGGGUGCGAGCGUUAAUCGGAAUUACUGGGCGUAAAGCGUGCGCAGGUGGUUCGACAAGUCCGAUGUGAAAGCCCCGGGCUCAACCUGGGAAUGGCAUUGGAAACUGGCGAGCUUGAGUGUGGCAGAGGGGGGUGGAAUUCCGCGUGUAGCAGUGAAAUGCGUAGAGAUGCGGAGGAACACCGAUGGCGAAGGCAGCCCCCUGGGCUGACACUGACGCUCAGGCACGAAAGCGUGGGGAGCAAACAGG
rnacentral:rRNA from 1 species